UACACUCCUGCGGGAAGCAGCAGUAGGGAAUCUUCGGCAAUGGGGGCAACCCUGACCGAGCAACGCCGCGUGAGUGAAGAAGGUUUUCGGAUCGUAAAGCUCUGUUGUAAGUCAAGAACGAGUGUGAGAGUGGAAAGUUCACACUGUGACGGUAGCUUACCAGAAAGGGACGGCUAACUACGUGCCAGCAGCCGCGGUAAUACGUAGGUCCCGAGCGUUGUCCGGAUUUAUUGGGCGUAAAGCGAGCGCAGGCGGUUUGAUAAGUCUGAAGUUAAAGGCUGUGGCUCAACCAUAGUUCGCUUUGGAAACUGUCAAACUUGAGUGCAGAAGGGGAGAGUGGAAUUCCAUGUGUAGCGGUGAAAUGCGUAGAUAUAUGGAGGAACACCGGUGGCGAAAGCGGCUCUCUGGUCUGUAACUGACGCUGAGGCUCGAAAGCGUGGUGAGCGAACAGGAUUAGAAACCCCUGUAGUCCCA
rnacentral:rRNA from 1 species